rnacentral:tRNA from 2 species
AAGAAAGAAGCAUAGAUGGUUUGAUGCAGUUGGCUUGAAACCAGUGUACGAGGGUUCGAUUCCUUCCUUUCUUG